GAUGAACGCUAGCGGCAGGCCUAACACAUGCAAGUCGAGGGGCAGCACGUCUUCGGAUGGUGGCGACCGGCGCACGGGUGCGUAACGCGUAUGCAACCUACCUCUUACAGUGGGAUAGCCCAGAGAAAUUUGGAUUAAUACCGCAUAGUAUACAGAUUCAGCAUUGGGACUGUAUUAAACAUUUAUGGGUAAGAGAUGGGCAUGCGUUCUAUUAGUUAGUUGGAGUGGUAACGGCACCCCAAGACAGCGAUAGAUAGGGGCCCUGAGAGGGGGAUCCCCCACACUGGUACUGAGACACGGACCAGACUCCUACGGGAGCAGCAGUGAGGAAUAUUGGACAAUGGGCGAGAGCCUGAUCCAGCCAUGCCGCGUGCAGGAAGACGGCCCUAUGGGUUGUAAACUGCUUUUGUAC
rnacentral:rRNA from 1 species